CACGUAGGGUGCGAGCGUUGUCCGGAAUUAUUGGGCGUAAAGAGCUCGUAGGCGGUGUGUCGCGUCGGCCGUGAAAACCUGCAGCUUAACUGUGGGCUUGCGGUCGAUACGGGCAUCACUGGAGUUCGGCAGGGAGACUGGAAUUCCUGGUGUAGCGGUGAAAUGCGCAGAUAUCAGGAGGAACACCGGUGGCGAAGGCGGGUCUCUGGGCCGAUACUGACGCUGAGGAGCGAAAGCGUGGGGAGCGAACAGG
rnacentral:rRNA from 1 species